AACCAGACUCCUACGGGAGGCAGCAGUGAGGAAUAUUGGUCAAUGGGCGCGAGCCUGAACCAGCCAAGUCGCGUGAGGGAUGACGGCCCUACGGGUUGUAAACCUCUUUUGUCGGGGAGCAAAUUCCGUUACGUGUAACGGAGUCGAGAGUACCCGAAGAAAAAGCAUCGGCUAACUCCGUGCCAGCAGCCGCGGUAAUACGGAGGAUGCGAGCGUUAUCCGGAUUUAUUGGGUUUAAAGGGUGCGUAGGCGGUCAGGUAAGUUAGAGGUGAAAGCUCGAUGCUCAACAUCGAAACUGCCUCUGAUACUGUCUGACUAGAGUGUAGUUGCGGAAGGCGGAAUGUGUGGUGUAGCGGUGAAAUGCUUAGAUAUCGCACAGAACACCGAUUGCGAAGGCAGCUUUCCAAGCUAUUACUGACGCUGAGGCACGAAAGCGUGGGGAGCGAACAGGAUUAGAUACCCCUGUAC
rnacentral:rRNA from 1 species